rnacentral:rRNA from 1 species
UACGUAGGGUGCAAGCGUUGUCCGGAAUUAUUGGGCGUAAAGAGCUCGUAGGCGGUCUGUUGCGUCGGCUGUGAAAACCCGAGGCUCAACCUCGGGCCUGCAGCCGAUACGGGCAGACUAGAGUUCGGCAGGGGAGACUGGAAUUCCUGGUGUAGCGGUGAAAUGCGCAGAUAUCAGGAGGAACACCGGUGGCGAAGGCGGGUCUCUGGGCAACAACUGACGCUGAGGAGCGAAAGCGUGGGGAGCGAACAGG